AAUUCGCCCUUAGAGUUUGAUCCUGGCUCAGGAUGAACGCUAGCGGCAGGCCUAAUACAUGCAAGCUGAACGGUAAAUAUUGUAGCAAUACGAUAUGAGAGUAGCGUAAGGGUGCGUAACACGUAUGCAAUCUGCCCUGUACAGGAGAAUAGCUCGGCGAAAGCCGGAUUAAUACUCCGUAAUAUUAUUGGAAGGCAUCUUUUGAUAAUUAAAGUCGCAAGACGGUAUGGGAUGAGCAUGCGUCUGAUUAGCUAGUUGGUAGUGUAACGGACUACCAAGGCGAUGAUCAGUAGGGGAACUGAGAGGUUGAUCCCCCACACUGGCACUGAGAUACGGGCCAGACUCCUACGGGAGGCAGCAGUAGGGAGUAUUGGUCAAUGGGUGAAAGCCUGAACCAGCCAUGCCGCGUGCAGGAAGAAGGCCUUCUGGGUUGUAAACUGCUUUUGCCGGGGGAUAAAAUUCCCAUGCGUGGGAAAUUGAAGGUACCCGGUGAAUAAGCCACGGCUAACUACGUGCCAGCAGCCGCGGUAAUACGUAGGUGGCAAGCGUUGUCCGGAUUUAUUGGGUUUAAAGGGUGCGUAGGCGGCCUAUUAAGUCAGUUCUGAAAUAUCCCGGCUUAACCGGGAGGGUGGGAUUGAUACUGAUGGGCUUGAGUGGACCCGAGGUAGGCGGAAUUGACGGUGUAGCGGCG
rnacentral:rRNA from 1 species